CCUACGGGAGGCAGCAGUGAGGGAUAUUGGUCAAUGGGGGAAACCCUGAACCAGCAACGCCGCGUGAGGGAAGACGGUUUUCGGAUUGUAAACCUCUUUCCGCUGGGAAGAUAAUGACGGUACCAGAGCAUGAAGCUCCGGCUAACUACGUGCCAGCAGCCGCGGUAAUACGUAGGGAGCAAGCGUUGUCCGGAUUUACUGGGUGUAAAGGGGGCGUAGAGGGGCCUGCAAGUCAGAAGUGAAAUCCAUGGGCUUAACCCGUGAACUGCUGUUGAAACUGCAGGGCUUGAGUGAAGGAGAGGCAGGCGGAAUGCCUGGUGUAGCGGUGAAAUGCGUAGAGAUCAGGAGGAACACCAGUGGCGAAGGCGGCCUGCUGGGCUUUAACUGACGCUGAAGCACGAAAGCGUGGGUAGCAAACAGGAUUAGAUACCCUAGUAGUC
rnacentral:rRNA from 1 species